rnacentral:lncRNA from 1 species
UGACAGAUCAAGUUUUCAUAAUUAUUUCUGCAAAAAUAAUAAUAAAUAGUAGUUAAAAUUUACUGCUUUAGAGAAAAAUGAGUGAAUACAAUUUACAAUAAGGGUGCGUUUGGCUCGCACUAUGAAAAAUUACUAGCAAUAAAAAGAUGUCCGAGAAUCUUAUUUCUAUUCAUUCUAUUACUAAGAAUUAAUGUGACAUUCCUGUGUUUGGUUCUCACGGUCAUAUUAUUUAGUCAUGUUAUUUAAAUUUACAAAAAAUAUACAAUUUAUUUAUUUUUUUAAUUAAUUUUAGAUAAUGCUACCAAAAAUUUCAACAUCUUUCUAAAAAAAAGGAAGAGAGAACAUGGAUUAGAGAGAGAGCAUAAUUAAAAAAAUAGAAAGAGAAAUAGAGUCAAGAUUAGAGGGAGUGAGAGAGUUGAGAUUUUAGAAAAAUAGGGAGAGAGAGAGCUUAAUUUAGAGAGAGAAAAAAAGUUGAAGUUUAGAAAGAAAAAGAUAAGUUUAGAGAAAGAUAUGAGGUUAGAGUGUAAAGAAAAGUAAUACCAACUAGCCGGCGGGUAGGAAGAAAGAAAGAGAUUAGACAUAUUAUGAUUAUCCCAAUCCAUUAAUAUGAGAAUACCCACCUUCCCUCAAGAAAAUGAGAUUAGUACUUUGGGAUGAAUCUUAUUCCCAAGUAAAUUCAAUAUUACCAACUAGAUUACUUAAUGCGUUUAGCCAAAUACCGUCAUAUUUUUUUUAUUUCAAUUGGAUUACUAUAAAUCUUAAAAAGAUAGUGCGAACCAAACUCACCCUAAUUGUUAUGUUCCUAUCAAAUAAAAGCCUAUGUU